ensembl:lncRNA
CGAGAGGACGCCGUCAUGGCCAACUGUCAGAUGCCCCCACCUGGCAACGUUGCGGACAUAGCCAAUGUUGCGGACACAGCGCAAGCAGCAGAUUUAGCGGAUGUAGAGUUUGAAGCAGGCGUAGCCGAAAUAGCAUGCAUCGCCAACAUGCAGGUCAAAGCAGUGGAAGCGGACGUUGAUGAAGACGUUGAUGACUCUCCUGAAGGUACGAGAUGUGGCCGGCUCUGUCCCUGCAUGGGGCGCAUGCUGGUCUGCCUGGAAUGGUUCCUGUACCUGUUCACUUUCCUCCUUUUCUUCUACCCCAUCUUCACCCUCUUGGGUACCUUAUAUUACAUAUUAUAUUAAUAUAUAAUUAGAUAACUGUCAAGA